rnacentral:sRNA from 1 species
AGUGUGUAGUUGGAGAAGUAAGAAAACUGUGAGACCGCUGGGGACAUGCCGCAGCUUUGCUGGGGCCGUGAGCCCCCAGGAGGAGGAGGAGUUCCGUCGCCUGGCCGUUCUCCCCAAUGUCUAUGAGGUCAUCUCCAAGAGCAUCGCCCCCUCCAUCUUUGGGGGCACGGACAUGAAGAAGGCCAUUGCCUGUCUGCUCUUUGGGGGCUCCCGAAAGAGGCUCCCUGAUGGACUUACUCGCCGAGGAGACAUCAACCUGCUGAUGCUAGGGGACCCUGGGACAGCCAAGUCCCAGCUUCUGAAGUUUGUGGAGAAGUGUUCUCCCAUUGGGGUAUACACGUCUGGGAAAGGCAGCAGCGCAGCUGGACUGACAGCCUCGGUGAUGAGGGACCCUUCGUCCCGGAAUUUCAUCAUGGAGGGUGGAGCCAUGGUCCUGGCUGAUGGUGGGGUUGUCUGUAUUGACGAGUU